AGAACGAACGCUGGCGGCAUGCCUAAUACAUGCAAGUCGAACGAACACUUCGGUGUUAGUGGCGCACGGGUGCGUAACGCGUGGGAAUCUGCCCUUGGGUUCGGAAUAACAGUUGGAAACGACUGCUAAUACCGGAUGAUAUCGAAAGAUCAAAGAUUUAUCGCCCAGGGAUGAGCCCGCGUAGGAUUAGCUAGUUGGUGAGGUAAAGGCUCACCAAGGCGACGAUCCUUAGCUGGUCUGAGAGGAUGAUCAGCCACACUGGGACUGAGACACGGCCCAGACUCCUACGGGAGGCAGCAGUAGGGAAUAUUGGACAAUGGGACGCAAGCCUGAUCCAGCAAUGCCGCGUGAGUGAUGAAGCCUUAGGGUGUAAAGCUCUUUUACCGAGAUGAUAAUAGACAGUAUCGGAGAAUAAGCCCGUCUAACGUCCGUGCUAGC
rnacentral:rRNA from 1 species